rnacentral:tRNA from 1 species
GCCUGGUUAGCUCAGUCGGUAGAGCAUUUGACUCUUAAAAUCAUAAGGUCAAUCAAACGGUCGCGGGUUCGAGCCCCGCAUCGGGCU